GAUAGCCCAGUUGGUAAAGCAUGAGACUGUUCAUAUCAAGGUCAUGGGUUUGAGCCCCAUGUUGCA